rnacentral:snoRNA from 1 species
CUCGUGCUCUCCUGAUGAUACUCGAAAUCAAGCAUAGUUCACACUGAAACUAUCGUGUUGACAAACAAGCAUCAAAACGUCUUUCGCUCCUAUCUGACCCUUC